GGCAAUUUUUUUUUGUAUAGUUUUUGGACAGUGGUAUGAACGUAAUUAACUUCAAGAAUGAGAGCAUUUUAUAGUAACUUCAGUUUGAUUCUUAUGCGUUCUCCUUGCAAGUGAAUAGAGUAGUGUGAAGCUUAGUUGGUUGCUGGAGCAAAGUUUUUGGGAUAUUGGAACAGGAGUUUAAGAUUGCUGUAAGGAUGAAUGUUUAGUUUGAACUUUGAAGUGAUGAUGAAUUGAGUUUUGAGGCAUGAAAAUGGGUGUUAUGUCUAUUCUAGAUCGGAGAUUGUACCAUAUUGCUACUAUGCGGUUCUUAUUUGUUGGUGUGUUGGUUGCAAUAGUAGUUGUUUUCUAAUGUUUUGCACUUCCCUCUUGGAGAUUACAUUCUCUGUUAGAUUCGGAGAAGCUCUCAGUAGCUCUGCCAGCUAAGGAUAUGGGGAAUGGAGUAGAUUUGGACUAUGAGUUGGAGUCUAAUGUGGAUGGGAAUUUGAGCAUUGGAGAGACCCUAGAUAGCAGUUAUGGAGGGAAAAAUAGUGAAGAUGCAAUUCAGAAAGGUUUCAUUCAUGAAAGACCAAACUAUGCACAUGAUCCUGUAGAAUACAGAUAUAAUGCUUCACCACUAGGGGUUCCUUCAAAGGGCAUAACAUUUCUGGAUGAAGAUUUGGGCACCUUAAUCACUGCAAGAAAAUCUUCAAAUGGCAGUGGAAUGCAAAGGGGGGAAAUGAAAGCUCAAAAUGAGAAGUCACCUCUAUCGAAAGUUCCUUUGUCCAAUUUGAGUACUUCAUUGACUCGGAUGAACUCCUUAUUGCUUCAGAGUUUUAACUCUUCUUAUAUGAGACCUAGGUGGUCUUCUCGUCCUGAUCGUGAACUCUUAUCAGCAAAACUGGAGAUCGAAAAUGGCCGUGUCGUAUCAAAUCCUUCUGGGCUUCAUCCACCUAUUUUCCGGGAUGUUGCCAAGUUCUCAAGGAGUUAUGCACUGAUGGAACGCAGGCUCAAAGUUUACGUCUACAGAGAAGGAGAUAAGCCUAUAUUUCACUAGCCAAGGACGAGGGGACUAUAUGCAUCCGAAGGUUGGUUUAUGAAACUGAUGGAGGGAAAUAAACGGUUCGUAGAGAAGGAUCCUCGCAGAGCUCAUUUGUUUUACCUGCCAUUCAGUUCACAAAAGCUAAGAAUUAUUCUUGCUGAACAAAAGCUUAAUGGUAAGCAGAUGGAGCAAUACCUAGAGAGGUACGUGCAUUUAAUCGCAGGAAGAUAUCGAUUCUGGAACAGAACUGGGGGAGCAGACCAUUUUCUUGUUGCUUGUCAUGACUGGGCCUCUCAAAUCACAAGGCAACCAAUGAAAAAUAGUAUUAGGUCUCUCUGCAACUCAAAUAUUGCUAAAGGCUUCCAAAUAAGAACUAACAAACAGAAGAGCCUAGCAUGAAAUUUGGCUUCCAUAA